GAGGGUGUAGCUCAGUGGUAGAGUGCGUGCUUAGCAUGCAUGAGGUCGUGGGUUCAAUCCCAGUACCUCCA
rnacentral:tRNA from 1 species